rnacentral:rRNA from 1 species
UGCAGUCGAACGCUUCUUUCCUCCCGAGUGCUUGCACUCAAUUGGAAAGAGGAGUGGCGGACGGGUGAGUAACACGUGGGUAACCUACCCAUCAGAGGGGGAUAACACUUGGAAACAGGUGCUAAUACCGCAUAACAGUUUAUGCCGCAUGGCAUAAGAGUGAAAGGCGCUUUCGGGUGUCGCUGAUGGAUGGACCCGCGGUGCAUUAGCUAGUUGGUGAGGUAACGGCUCACCAAGGCCACGAUGCAUAGCCGACCUGAGAGGGUGAUCGGCCACACUGGGACUGAGACACGGCCCAGACUCCUACGGGAGGCAGCAGUAGGGAAUCUUCGGCAAUGGACGAAAGUCUGACCGAGCAACGCCGCGUGAGUGAAGAAGGUUUUCGGAUCGUAAAACUCUGUUGUUAGAGAAGAACAAGGACGUUAGUAACUGAACGUCCCCUGACGGUAUCUAACCAGAAAGCCACGGCUAACUACGUGCCAGCA